AGAGUUUGAUCUGGCUCAGGAUGAACGCUGGCGGUAUGCUUAACACAUGCAAGUCGAACGGACUCUUCGGAGUUAGUGGCGGACGGGUGAGUAACGCGUGAGAAUCUGGCUUCAGGUCGGGGACAACCACUGGAAACGGUGGCUAAUACCGGAUGUGCCGAAAGGUAAAAGAUUAAUUGCCUGAAGAUGAGCUCGCGUCUGAUUAGCUAGUUGGUGGGGUAAGAGCCUACCAAGGCGACGAUCAGUAGCUGGUCUGAGAGGAUGAUCAGCCACACUGGAACUGAGACACGGUCCAGACUCCUACGGGAGGCAGCAGUGGGGAAUUUUCCGCAAUGGGCGAAAGCCUGACGGAGCAAUACCGCGUGAGGGAGGAAGGCUCUUGGGUUGUAAACCUCUUUUCUGUGGGAAUAAGAGUGAAGUACCACAGAAUCAGC
rnacentral:rRNA from 1 species